rnacentral:rRNA from 1 species
CUACGGGAUGCUGCAGUGAGGAAUAUUGGACAAUGGAGGCAACUCUGAUCCAGCCAUGCCGCGUGCAGGAAGACUGCCCUAUGGGUUGUAAACUGCUUUUAUACAGGAAGAAACCUACUUACGUGUAAGUAGCUGACGGUACUGUAAGAAUAAGGAUCGGCUAACUCCGUGCCAGCAGCCGCGGUAAUACGGAGGAUCCAAGCGUUAUCCGGAAUCAUUGGGUUUAAAGGGUCCGUAGGUGGUUUAUUAAGUCAGAGGUGAAAUCCUAUCGCUCAACGAUAGAACUGCCUUUGAAACUGAUAGACUUGAGUUAUUGUGAAGUAGUUAGAAUAUGUAGUGUAGCGGUGAAAUGCAUAGAUAUUACAUAGAAUACCGAUUGCGAAGGCAGAUUACUAACAAUAUACUGACACUGAGGGACGAAAGCGUGGGUAGCGAACAGGAUUAGAUACCCCGGUAGUC